rnacentral:tRNA from 2 species
ACCUGGCUGGCUCAGUUGGUGGAGCAUAUGACUCUUGAUCUCAGGGUCAUGAGUUUGAGCCCCAUGUUGGGUA